UAGGGAAUCUUCCACAAUGGACGCAAGUCUGAUGGAGCAACGCCGCGUGAGUGAAGAAGGUCUUCGGAUCGUAAAGCUCUGUUGUUGGUGAAGAAGGAUAGAGGCAGUAACUGGUCUUUAUUUGACGGUAAUCAACCAGAAAGUCACGGCUAACUACGUGCCAGCAGCCGCGGUAAUACGUAGGUGGCAAGCGUUGUCCGGAUUUAUUGGGCGUAAAGCGAGCGCAGGCGGAAUGAUAAGUCUGAUGUGAAAGCCCACGGCUCAACCGUGGAACUGCAUCGGAAACUGUCAUUCUUGAGUGCAGAAGAGGAGAGUGGAACUCCAUGUGUAGCGGUGGAAUGCGUAGAUAUAUGGAAGAACACCAGUGGCGAAGGCGGCUCUCUGGUCUGCAACUGACGCUGAGGCUCGAAAGCAUGGGUAGCGAACAGGAUUAG
rnacentral:rRNA from 1 species